GUUCGUGCGCAGGAGUCCUAAGCUCCUUAUGGAAUUACUCCUGCUGAGCUGAUGGGGUCAGCUGAUGCAAAUGAUAUAAGUAGACUGCUUGCUGAUUUUUUUUCAAGGGUCUGUUUCUAAGUUUUGAUUAAUAUACAAGCUCAGUAACUCAAAGCAAGAGAGCAGCAGCAAUAACUGAAGAUGCAAGAAUUUCAGUUCAUGCGGGUUCUCGUCCAAGAGAGAGGAUGAGAGGAAGCAACAUUUCUGCUGUUGUUUUGUUUUGUUUUUUUUUUUUUUUUUGGUAAUUGCUAUGAUUUUUCCUUCUUAUAAGGGUGGUUAUUUAUGUAAUGAUCUUGUAAUGAUAAAUGAUGUUUUUGGCCUGGAUGAAAUGGUUG